ensembl:lncRNA
CCUUAUAUGAGUCAGUCGUGAGAGACCUUGCUUGUCACUUUAGAUAAUUUUCACAAACAGACCAGUCAAGACCUGUGGAUCCAAUUGUUGGUAUCACUUAGUUGAGCAGAGUUUGCAAACCAGGACUUGAUGGGCCAGAUUGGCCAGCUCCUUAUGUCUCCCAUGUGCUGACGAGACUCCACCAACACUGCUGGUUGUACAUGGAGAGUAGUCAACUUUUGAAUAAAUCACACUGCUCCUGCCACUCACAGUGCUGUCAAGUUACUUGUCAAAAUCAACGUGGUCAGGCAGAAAGGUCACCAAAUGUAAGA